AAUGCCAAGACUAAGCCAGAGUCUUUCCCUGCUAAUGACAAUAUAGAGCUAGAAAUUGACAGAAGUGACAGGAAGGAGAGAAAUCUAAUGAUGACAUUAAUUUUAGUGAUAGUGAAAUUGAUUUGAGAUAUAAUUGUCUCACUGUCUAUUACUGGCAAGUAACUCAUGAGGUCCAGCUUCACAAUAUGUGGCUAUACUUGAUGAUUUAAAAUUAGUAAAACAAUAGCAAGCUUCUGGAUAAUCUAAAAUUCCUCCAUCAGUUCUAGUAAAGAUAUUGAGGAAAUGUCAUGUCAUGAAAUCAUACAGCUCUUAUUAACCACAAAGGUUAACGUAUAUUUGGAAAUGUUGUUUA